UACGUAGGGGGCAAGCGUUGUCCGGAAUCAUUGGGCGUAAAGCGCGCGUAGGCGGCCCGGUAAGUCCGUUGUGAAAGUCAAAGGCUCAACCUUUGAACGCCGAUGGAUACUGCCGGGCUAGAGUCCGGAAGAGGCGGAGUGGAAUUCCUGGUGUAGCGGUGGAAUGCGCAGAUAUCAGGAGGAACACCAAUAGCGAAGGCAGCUCGCUGGGACGGUACUGACGCUGAGGCGCGAAAGCGUGGGGAGCGAAACAGG
rnacentral:rRNA from 1 species